rnacentral:rRNA from 1 species
GACAGAGGGUGCAAACGUUGUUCGGAUUUACUGGGCGUAAAGCGCGUGUAGGCGGCUUUGCACGUCGGAUGUGAAAUCCCACGGCUCAACCGUGGAAGUGCAUCCGAAACUGCAUCGCUGGAGUCUCGGAGAGGAAGGUGGAAUGCUUGGUGUAGAGGUGAAAUUCGUAGAUAUCAAGCAGAACACCUGCGGCGAAGGCGGCCUUCUGGACGAUGACUGACGCUGAGACGCGAAAGCGUGGGGAGCAAACAGG